rnacentral:rRNA from 1 species
CCUACGGGAGGCUGCAGUGGGGAAUAUUGCACAAUGGGGGAAACCCUGAUGCAGCGACGCCGCGUGAGUGAAGAAGUAUUUCGGUAUGUAAAGCUCUAUCAGCAGGGAAGAAAAUGACGGUACCUGAUUAAGAAGCCCCGGCUAACUACGUGCCAGCAGCCGCGGUAAUACGUAGGGGGCAAGCGUUAUCCGGAUUUACUGGGUUGAAAGGGAGGCUUGACGGCAGCACAAGUCUGGAGUGAAAUGCCGGGGCUUAACCCCGGAACUGCUUUGGAAACUGUGCAGCUAGAGUGCAGGAGAGGUAAGUGGAAGUCCUAGUGUAGCGGUGAAAUGCGUAGAUAUUAGGAGGAACACCAGUGGCGAAGGCGGCUUACCGGACUGUAACUGACGUUGAGGCUCGAAAGCGUGGGGAGCAAACAGGAUUAGAUACCCGAGUAGUC